AGAACGAACGCUGGCGGCAGGCCUAACACAUGCAAGUCGAACGCUGUAGCAAUACAGAGUGGCAGACGGGUGAGUAACACGUGGGAACAUACCCUUCGGUUCGGAAUAACUCAGGGAAACUUGAGCUAAUACCGGAUACGUCCGCGAGGAGAAAGAUUCAUCGCCGAAGGAUUGGCCCGCGUCUGAUUAGCUAGUUGGUGAGGUAAUGGCUCACCAAGGCGACGAUCAGUAGCUGGUCUGAGAGGAUGAUCAGCCACAUUGGGACUGAGACACGGCCCAAACUCCUACGGGAGGCAGCAGUGGGGAAUAUUGGACAAUGGGCGAAAGCCUGAUCCAGCCAUGCCGCGUGAGUGAUGAAGGCCCUAGGGUUGUAAAGCUCUUUUACCGUGGGAAGAUAAUGACGGUACAGGAGAAUAAGCCCGGCUAACUCGCGCCAGCAGCCGC
rnacentral:rRNA from 1 species